UUUAGAUUUUACACAAUUACUAACAUUUUUAAAUUGGAACAAAGCGAUCGGACCUGAUACAGGUAUGAAAAACUAAUUUCGGAAGGCUAAUCUUAUUUACUUAUUAUUUAUGACUCCGAUUGUUUAAACCUUACCACGAAUAUUUAUAGACCAUAGACAAAUCGAGUUUCAGCCAAACAAACGAACAACAAUUAAUUUAUAUAUAUAUAGAUAACUAAAUCAAUAAAUUAGACUAAUAUAACAACAACUCGGUUUGGUAUAAUCUACAGAUUUGUAUUCCCUGGAGACAAGAUACUCAAAAAAGUCAGGAACAACAGCUAAGUUCGUUUUGACUAUCGGAAGCCACACUUGGCAUUCAAUCAGUAUUUAUUAACUGCGUAUUAAAUUUUAUUUUGUUUGUUGUGUCUUAAAAGCCGUAUAAAAGCUCGCCAUAGUUGUAAUCACAUCAGUUGCAUUACGGUAUUUAACGGAUACUACGAUCCAAUGGUCAAAAUGUUUUUCACUUUCGCACUCUUCGUUUUAAGCAUACUACUUGCUAAUGCCGCUCCUCAAGGUGCAACAAUUAAUCAGAAUUAUUAUAAUCCAACACCGGACGUACCUCCAAAUGCGUCUGAAAACGCUUAUGGCACAAGCGUUUUCAGACGUAUUUUUAGGCGCUCAUGCUCAGGCUCAGGAUCAUGCUUAGGCUUAGGAUCAUGCUUAGGCCCAGGAUCAUGCUCAGGCGUAGGAUCAGGGUCAGUCCCAGACUCUUGCUCAGGCUCAACCUCAUGCUCAGGCAUAAAAUCAGGCAGAGGUCCAGGAUCGUGCAAAGGCCCAGGAUCAUGCUCAGGCGUAGGCUCAGGCUCAGGCUCAGGCUCAUGCUCAGGCUCAGCAUCAUGCUCAGGCCCAGGAUCAGGCUCAGGUGUAGGAUCAUGCUCAGAACCAGGAUCAUGCUCAGCACCAGGCUAAGGCUCGUCAUCAGUAACUAGCACAAGAGGAACUGGCUCUGGCUCUUUUAGAUAGACUAAAUUUUUGUACGAUUUCUAUCUAUAGAUUUCCAGUUAUCGAAUCAGUCAUUACCGGAAUCGUACCUUACCCGCAAUCAAAGGGCAAACUGUGCAUUUGCUUGAGCAACUACUUACAGAUGCCAGCAGUCAUUCGCAAUCAAUUUAGGUACUAAACCGAUAUUUAUAAGUAAGCAAUCAUUUUAAAAAUCAAUCUAUGUAUUGAACCAAAAAAAAUUAAUAGAUGAAU